GUCCCAGUAGCUCAAUUGGAUAGAGCAUCCCCCUCCUAAGGGGAAGGUUGGCAGUUCGAACCUGCCCUGGGACACCA
rnacentral:tRNA from 69 species